GCCCCUGUAGCUCAACGGACAGAGCAGCGGUUUGCGGAACCGUAGAUAUCAGUUCAAUUCUGGUCAGGGGCA
rnacentral:tRNA from 1 species